rnacentral:rRNA from 1 species
UCCAGACUCCUACGGGAGGCAGCAGUGGGGGAUAUUGCACAAUGGGGGGAACCCUGAUGCAGCGACGCCGCGUGGGUGAAGGAGCGUUUCGGCGCGUAAAGCCCUAUCGGCAGGGAAGAAGGAGGACGGUACCUGACUAAGAAGCCCCGGCUAACUACGUGCCAGCAGCCGCGGUAAUACGUAGGGGGCAAGCGUUAUCCGGAUUUACUGGGUGUAAAGGGGGCGCAGACGGCAGCGCAAGCCAGGAGUGAAAGCCCGGGGCCCAACCCCGGGACUGCUCUUGGAACUGCGCGGCUGGAGUGCAGGAGGGGCAGGCGGAAUUCCUGGUGUAGCGGUGAAAUGCGUAGAUAUCAGGAGGAACACCGGUGGCGAAGGCGGCCUGCUGGACGACAACUGACGGUGAGGCGCGAAAGCGUGGGGAGCAAACAGGAUUAGAUACCCCUGUAGA